UACGUAGGGGGCAAGCGUUGUCCGGAUUUAUUGGGCGUAAAGAGCGUGUAGGCGGCCGUACAGGUCAGCUGUGAAAACUCGAGGCUCAACCUCGAGACGUCGGUUGAAACCGUACGGCUAGAGUCCGGAAGAGGAGAGUGGAAUUCCCGGUGUAGCGGUGAAAUGCGCAGAUAUCGGGAGGAACACCAAUGGCGAAGGCAGCUCGCUGGGACGUGACUGACGCUGAGACGCGAAAGCGUGGGGAGCAAACAGG
rnacentral:rRNA from 1 species